CGUGCUGUCUUCGUAGAUCUCGAGCCCACUGUGAUUGAUGAGGUGAGGACUGGCGCUUACCGCCAGCUCUUCCACCCUGAGCAGCUUAUCAGUGGCAAGGAGGAUGCAGCCAACAACUUCGCCCGUGGUCAUUACACCAGUAAGUGCUGUGCUCUUUGUUUGUAAUGAUGACAGUACACCACUUUUGCUCGUCAUCUGGCUGACUUUUGCUGUGCCUAUUGCAGUUGGCAAGGAGAUUGUUGAUCUGUGCCUUGACCGUAUCAGGAAGCUUUCAGACAACUGCACUGGUCUCCAGGGAUUCCUUGUCUUCAACGCUGUUGGAGGUGGAACUGGCUCUGGCCUUGGUUCUCUUCUGCUGGAGCGCCUCUCUGUUGACUAUGGAAAGAAGUCCAAGCUUGGGUUCACAGUGUACCCAUCACCCCAGGUCUCCACCUCUGUUGUUGAGCCAUACAACAGUGUCCUGUCCACCCACUCCCUCCUUGAGCACACUGAUGUGUCUAUCCUUCUUGACAAUGAGGCCAUCUAUGACAUCUGCCGCCGCUCCCUUGACAUUGAGCGCCCAACAUACACCAACCUCAACAGGCUUGUUUCUCAGGUACAGUCUUGUUUCUGCAUGGCUACAUGUUUUCUGUUUGAUGUUUGUUUCAAGUUGCAGUUCCUAAUAAUGUUUGACUGAGAUCUAAUUCAUUGGUUAAACAUCUAAUGUGCAGGUCAUUUCAUCGCUGACAGCUUCCCUGAGGUUUGAUGGUGCUCUGAAUGUUGAUGUCAAUGAAUUCCAGACCAACUUGGUGCCCUACCCGAGGAUCCACUUCAUGCUUUCCUCCUAUGCCCCAGUGAUCUCAGCUGAGAAGGCCUACCAUGAGCAGCUGUCUGUUGCUGAGAUCACCAACAGCGCCUUUGAGCCUUCAUCUAUGAUGGCCAAGUGUGACCCCCGCCACGGCAAGUACAUGGCCUGCUGUCUCAUGUACCGUGGUGAUGUUGUUCCCAAGGAUGUCAACGCUGCUGUGGCCACCAUCAAGACCAAGCGCACUAUCCAGUUUGUUGACUGGUGCCCCACUGGCUUCAAGUGUGGUAUCAACUACCAGCCACCAGGUGUUGUCCCAGGUGGUGACCUUGCCAAGGUCCAGAGGGCUGUGUGCAUGAUCUCCAACUCCACCAGUGUCGUCGAGGUCUUCUCCCGCAUUGACCACAAGUUUGACCUCAUGUACGCCAAGCGUGCCUUCGUCCACUGGUACGUCGGUGAGGGCAUGGAGGAGGGAGAGUUCUCUGAGGCCCGUGAGGAUCUUGCUGCCCUGGAGAAGGACUAUGAAGAAGUUGGUGCUGAGUUCGACGAGGGUGAGGACGGUGACGAGGGCGACGAGUACUAGAGCCUGCCUCCUGGUGCUUUCGCAAGGCGUGCUGCUGCUAUCCCAUGAUCUGCCCGAGUGGCUUUAUCUGUUAUCUGUCUGUUUGAAUCUUUGCUUUGUGGUGUUUGUUUUACAACCUGUUGUGUUGUAAGACCCUUGUAUCUUUGAACCUGUUAUGCACCUUGGUUAAUAUGCAUGCUAUCUGGUUAUCUACACCAUAGCCUUAAUUGCUCUGUCUCCAUUUUCCUGUUUUAUACUAAUUUGUAUUGUUUCAUUUGUGGUACUGUUGAACUCUGCCUAUUAUCUCAACAUAGCCGGUCGGAAGCCCGAGUGAAGGAGUGUUGGUGAGAUGCUUGGCGAGCCAUUGUUUCAG
rnacentral:lncRNA from 1 species